GACGAACGCUGGCGGCGUGCUUAACACAUGCAAGUCGAACGGAAAGGCCCUGCUUUUGUGGGGUGCUCGAGUGGCGAACGGGUGAGUAACACGUGAGUAACCUGCCCUUGACUUUGGGAUAACUUCAGGAAACUGGGGCUAAUACCGGAUAGGAGCUCCUGCUGCAUGGUGGGGGUUGGAAAGUUUCGGCGGUUGGGGAUGGACUCGCGGCUUAUCAGCUUGUUGGUGGGGUAGUGGCUUACCAAGGCUUUGACGGGUAGCCGGCCUGAGGGGGUGACCGGCCACAUUGGGACUGAGAUACGGCCCAGACUCCUACGGGAGGCAGCAGUGGGGAAUAUUGCACAAUGGGCGGAAGCCUGAUGCAGCAACGCCGCGUGCGGGAUGACGGCCUUCGGGUUGUAAACCGCUUUCGCCUGUGACGAAGCGUGAGUGACGGUAAUGGGUAAGGAAGCACCGGCUAACUACGUG
rnacentral:rRNA from 1 species